AGCGGCGGAUGGGUGAGUAACACGUGGGGAACCUGCCCCUAAGUCUGGGAUACCAUUUGGAAACAGGUGCUAGUACCGGAUAAUAAAGCAGAUCGCAUGAUCAGCUUUUGAAAGGCGGCGUAAGCCGUCGCUAAGGGAUGGCCCCGCGGUGCAUUAGCUAGUUGGUAAGGUAACGGCUUACCAAGGCGACGAUGCAUAGCCGAGUUGAGAGACUGAUCGGCCACAUUGGGACUGAGACACGGCCCAAACUCCUACGGGAGGCAGCAGUAGGGAAUCUUCCACAAUGGACGCAAGUCUGAUGGAGCAACGCCGCGUGAGUGAAGAAGGUUUUCGGAUCGUAAAGCUCUGUUGUUGGUGAAGAAGGAUAGAGGUAGUAACUGGCCUUUAUUUGACGGUAAUCAACCAGAAAGUCACGGCUAACUACGUGCCAGCAGCCGCGGUAAUACGUAGGUGGCAAGCGUUGUCCGGAUUUAUUGGGCGUAAAGCGAGCGCAGGCGGAAAAAUAAGUCUAAUGUGAAAGCCCUCGGCUUAACCGAGGAACUGCAUCGGAAACUGUUUUUCUUGAGUGCAGAAGAGGAGAGUGGAACUCCAUGUGUAGCGGUGGAAUGCGUAGAUAUAUGGAAGAACACCAGUGGCGAAGGCGGCUCUCUGGUCUGCAACUGACGCUGAGGCUCGAAAGCACGGGUAGCGAACAGGAUUAGAUACCCUGGUAGUCCAUGCCGUAAACGAUGAGUGCUAAGUGU
rnacentral:rRNA from 1 species